CGGGACCGUAAGGACAUGUGGACAGUAUGGGAGUGAGAAUGUUGGCAUGAGUAGCGAGAUGUGGGUGAGAAUCCCACAGGCCGUAAACCCAAGGUUUCCAGGGGAAGGUUCGUCCGCCCUGGGUUAGUCGGGACCUAAGCUGAGGCCGAAAGGCGUAGGUGAUGGACAACAGGUUGAUAUUCCUGUACUACCGAUAACCGUUUGAGAGA
rnacentral:rRNA from 1 species